UUGCUUUGGCAGCACAUAAUCUAAAACUGGAAAGACAAAGAGAAGAUUCACAUGGCCUUGAGCAAGGAUAACACACAAAUUCGUUAAGUGUUCCAUGCUAAA